UACGGGGGGUGCGAGCGUUGUCCGGAAUCACUGGGCGUAAAGGGCGCGUAGGUGGUCUGAUAAGGGUGUGGUGAAAGCCCGGGGCUCAACCCCGGGUCGGCCGUGCCGACUGUUAGACUAGAGUGCUGUAGGGGCAGGCGGAAUUCCGGGUGUAGCGGUGGAAUGCGUAGAGAUCCGGAGGAAGACCGGUGGCGAAGGCGGCCUGCUGGGCAGUUGCUGACACUGAGGCGCGACAGCGUGGGGAGCAAACAGG
rnacentral:rRNA from 1 species